GACGAACGCUGGCGGCGUGCUUAACACAUGCAAGUCGAACGAAGAGCGAUGGAAGCUUGCUUCUAUCAAUCUUAGUGGCGCACGGGUGAGUAACGCGUAAUCAACCUGCCCUUCAGAGGGGGACAACAGUUGGAAACGACUGCUAAUACCGCAUACGAUCCAAUCUCGGCAUCGGGACUGGAUGAAAGGUGGCCUCUAUUUAUAAGCUAUCACUGAAGGAGGGGAUUGCGUCUGAUUAGCUAGUUGGAGGGGUAACGGCCCACCAAGGCGAUGAUCAGUAGCCGGUCUGAGAGGAUGAACGGCCACAUUGGGACUGAGACACGGCCCAGACUCCUACGGGAGGCAGCAGUGGGGAAUCUUCCGCAAUGGACGAAAGUCUGACGGAGCAACGCCGCGUGAGUGAUGACGGCCUUCGGGUUGUAAAGCUCUGUAAUCGGGACGAAUGGUUCUUGUGCGAAUAGUGCGAGGAUUUGACGGUACCGGAAUAGAAAGCCACGGCUAACUACGUG
rnacentral:rRNA from 1 species